rnacentral:precursor_RNA from 9 species
AUGACAUUUAGAGUGCUAGUGUCCCCGUGGGCAUCAAGGGGGCUGUGAUGUGUAGUCUAUUGUUCAUAUCACAGCCCGCUUUGAUGAGCUAUGAUGACACUUCAACGCCAUUGCUGCCUA